CUACGGGGUGCACCAGUGAGGAAUUUUGCGCAAUGGGGGGAACCCUGACGCAGCAACGCCGCGUGAGUGAUGAAGGCUUUCGGGUCGUAAAGCUCUGUCAAGUGGGAAGAACCUAUGCAGUGUUAAUAUCACUGUAUACUGAUGGUACCACUGAAGGAAGCACCGGCUAACUCCGUGCCAGCAGCCGCGGUAAUACGGGGGGUGCAAGCGGUUAUUCGGAAUCAUUGGGCGUAAAGGGCACGUAGGCGGCUUGGUAAGUCAGAUGUGAAAGCCCGGGGCUUAACCCCGGAAGUGCAUUUGAUACUGUCAGGCUUGAGUAUGGGAGAGGGAAGUGGAAUUCCUGGUGUAGAGGUGAAAUUCGUAGAUAUCAGGAGGAACACCGGUGGCGAAGGCGACUUCCUGGACCAAUACUGACGCUGAGGUGCGAAGGCGUGGGUAGCAAACAGGAUUAGAUACCCGGGUAGUC
rnacentral:rRNA from 1 species